AAUCAACGCUGGCGGCGUGCCUCAGACAUGCAAGUCGAACGAGAAAGUUUCCUUCGGGAGACGAGUACAGUGGCGUCCGGGUGAGUAACACGUGGGUAAUUUACCUUUGGGUGGGGAAUAGCAGCCGGAAACGGCUAUUAAUACCGCAUAAUGCAGCGGCUCGACAUCGAGACAGUUGUUAAAGCGGGGAUCUGACAAGGACCUCGCGCCUAAAGAGAAGCCUGCGUCAGAUAGCUAGUUGGUA
rnacentral:rRNA from 1 species